rnacentral:lncRNA from 1 species
ACCCCUCUGAUCUCCCUCAAGUGCUUUCCUUCCCUACAGAUCUUCGAAGAAAAGAAUGAAAUGAAAUGGAAAAAAAAUCAAUGGAAAAGGAGGCUCGGAGAGAUGGGGCUUAGAGGGGUCUCGAUGGGGGGGGGGUGCCAGGUUGCUCGGAGGGAUCUUGAUCGGGUGGCAUCAGAGGACUACUCGCAAGGGUCUCGAUGCUGGUGCGACAGCUGGGGUUCUCCGUCGAGUGGUGAAAUGCAGCGAUUUCAACAGCAUGGGAGGA